rnacentral:lncRNA from 1 species
AAGCGUCCGGAGCGCCAUCACCUGAUGAAGUUCCCUACCUCGUCGACCUGCUUCACACGAACGAGCUUGUCCGGCGAGCUGUCGAUGACGAGGAACGUCGCCUUGGUCGUGAGCAUCAUCAGGUUUGCCAUCUCGAUCGCCUCCACGCGCGCUUCCUGGCCCUUGCCCUGGCUGCCCGACAGGAUGAUCACGUCCUCGCCCUUGGACUCGGGGUGCACCGGCCACAGGUAGUUCACCGGCACGGCCAGGAUCGGCUGCAGCGGGUUCACGGGCUCCAGGAAGCGCACGCGCGCCGUGGACGUGAACGAGUCGUUCUGCGUGUCGAGCACGGAGAGCACGACGCCCUGCUUGUUCUCGCAAUCGCCGCCGUGCCAAGGGUUGCCGUGCUGCAGAGGAUGUAAAUUUCACAGUUUCAAAACACACAAGUGGUACAUUGCUAAACAAUUCGUACAUGAGGGAUGACCAGUAGAGGUUAUGGACUAACCCUGCCAAAGAGGAGUCUAGAACUUGCUUAAGGUUGGACUGGAUGAUCUUCUUUGUGGCGAUUUCUCAUCCCUCAAGGUUCCAUUCAGUCUUGGUGUUACGGACUUUGGCCUCGGAGGAGUCAAAAGGAGCUGAUAUCUGCGCUUGGAGGGAGUACCAGAUACCUUGCUCCUUGCUUCUGAAUGUCAUGAUACGCGCAUGAUCGGGGUAGAAGUUGCCGGGAAGGGUGGGGUCUCGAGGUGGAAACUUAGUUUCGCCUUGGGGCGGUUCUAAGGUUCUGAACAGUGGUUGGGGCCAGGGCGCAAUCACUCUAGCCGCCUGAGUCUUGUGUCGUAAAGUGAGGGAUUGGAGGGUCUGAAUGUAGUUGUAGAGGGUGUAUGGACGACUCUCCGAGUUAUGACCCUUCCAAGCGUUGUAGAGCAACGUUGAGAUACCUUGUUGAAAGUCAACUUUGCGGAGAAUGAUGAACUAAGAGCAAUUAUCAUAUUGAUUGACGAUGGAGUGGAAGUUAGUAAUGGAUCCGCGGUCGAAAAUCAGCCUUGGGCAUGUAAAGUACUCAUCUCUUCGUCCGCAAAUGCACCAUUAUACACGAGAUAUUUCUUCUCCUCUGGUGAUAAUGACUUCUCCAUGGUAUGUUAGGGUGUCAAGAGGGAGAGAACUUCGGGUUCCUCGAGAGUCGAGGAAGAGAUGGUUGACGAUGAACAUCGAUCCACUCUUGACCACCCAAAUACCAGUCAGCGGCUGAUUUCGCUCUCCGUCUUUAACGAAAAAGUUCCAAGGAACAAUGGAGGGGACACAAAAGUUAAAGUUGGUGUGGUUGAAUGUGAACACAAAUGGGCGAUUCGAAUUCGGAGGCGCCGGUACUCGGGUGCAGUUUAACCGCCCAUGUCAGUGGAAAGUGAAACGCCCUUUGACGUGAACCACAACCACAUCAUUCCCGCUUCCUCUUGAUAUCCUUCGCCGUGUCUCAAUCCGAACCCGUCCCAAUUCCCGCGGGUGCUGACCCUAGACUGUUCUGGAAUGGGCAGUAUCUCCUGGAGGACGAUCCCGACGACCCUGCCCACUACUCCAAAGCUGCCCAGGAAGCACAGCAAGAGGUGAGUGUUGUGUCUGGGACGCGUAGAAUGCUUUAUCAAUACAUGUUCAGAAAUGGCAGACACUCGUGGAGAAUCGCCCUCCUCGGAAGAAGCUUCCGCGAGAGUUGAUGGCCAGGAACGGCGCGAAACCCCCCCUCUACCACUACGGCAUCCCCUUCACCGACCGCUACAUGUACGAAUAUGCAAAGCGCCACCACCUCACCUUGAAGUUGCGCCCACAGAACAGAGAGUUCUUUGGUGGGGUAUCGGAGCUCGAUUUUGCUACCAUCUCGCCCGAGCACGAGCAAGACCGAGAUCUGAUGGUCCAGCUAUUGGGCACAGCGUGCAUAUUAGCUGCGCGUCACAUUGAGAUCAGGUGCGGCCUCACGUUACAUGUCGCGCGGCCGUUUUCGUUGGAAUGGGAUGGAAUGCUCUCAUUGUGGUCCAACUACGAUAUGGACGAACGGUAUUCAAAGUUGGUUGGAUCCCGGAAGCGAUUCCAAGACAUCGUGGCGAAACUGAAGGACGCGAUGUGUGAAGGCGACCAGCAGAGCGAUAUCCAGUGGUGGUACGAAUGGGACAACCCCGUCGUGAGUUCUCUUCAUUUUUAUGGUGUGCUCGAAGCGUUGUUAACUGUUUCUUUUAGGGAAUAUUUACGAGCCUUGCGUAGGUUGUAAUAUGACAUUCUUCAAGAUGUUGUGGUGCCAUACACGUUUGCGUGUGGUGUAUUAUAUCUUUCUCUUAACAUUUAGAUGCUGUCCCGUACAGACAGAUUGGCCUUCCUAGCUCAGUGGUGUAUACGCGGACUAUACGGUUCAAGAUUUUACCUUUCACACAUCUACAAUCUAGGAACUUACCCUGGCGGAGUAGUUCUGAUAUUUUCAAUCGUCUCUAGUAAUCAAUGUCAACUAUUCGCCGCCAUACACAUCCCGCACAUUGUGACAGACAGGCUGUAAAUACAAAAAGUGUAGUAUGGGCAUGUACCUCGCUGCAUCGAGUCCUACUCUAUUCUCUCGGGUUCCACGUCUUAGUACUAGAUGGCCCUUUAACGCCAAAUGUCACCAAAUAGUUUGUACGACGCAUCACUGUAGUUCUCCUUAGCCUCAUCCAAGCACAGUAAUCCUACUCCACUGGCAUAAUGUCGGGGUCGAAGUCGUCAGCGUUGUCCCGAGUCGAUGCCCUGGUCCUCAUCUGAUGCGGGCCGGCAUCGGGAUCGACUAUCUGAGGCUCUUUCUCGCUGAAACGGCUCUGCUGCGAGUCACUUGAGUCAGGUGGUUUUGGACCACGAAGAGUGGGGUCAGGUUUGUUGCUGGCAAGCUUUAUGACGGACAAUUCGUUCUGGAUAGGGCGAUCAAUGACCCCCUUCCGGAUCAGUCUCAGACCCUUAUCCUGGUAUGCAUGGUAAUCAGAGAGAGUGCAGAAGCUGCCAAUAAAAGAGCAGGGCACACACCUUCUGAAGUUGCGCUUGCCUACUAUUAUCGACAACACUCGAGUGCUUAACCAUGAACCAACUAGGCUGGCACACAAAGCCGAAGCCGGGAGUGAGAGCGCAUAGAGGUACUUGGGGCUCAGUGUAGCCUUGUCAUACCACUUAAGGCUCUUACUCGACUUCAAAGUGAAUAUAGGCUCGUUGCAGUAGAUCACCUCAGGAAGCGGUGUGUUCUUGAUUCGCUCGACGCGCUGCUUGACGACCUCCUUCCUAUUUGCGAUCAGCGCUUCCUUCAACUUCGACGGCGUGCGGCGGGAUGGAGCUUUCGGAAGGUCUGGGAGAGACUGGAGAAGUUCUGCGUCUGGACGUGUUUUCCACGCGAAGAGGCUGAAAUAGGGACCGACAAGAAGGAAGGCGUAGGGGGAUGUCCAAAAUGGGUUAUGGGCCAAUCCUGCCAACGAGGAUUCGCAAACUUGCUGAACGUGAGACUCGAUAAUCUUCUCCGCGGCACGUCGGCUCUCCUUAAGAUUCCAUUCAGUCUCGACGUUGAGGACCUUGACCUCAGAGGAAUCGAGGGCAAUGGAUAUAGGCGCUUGGAGGGAGUACGCGCGACCUUGCUCCUGGCUUCCGAAUCCGAAUAUCAUGAUGCGCGCGUGAUCGGGGUAGCAUCAUUCCCUCGCCUCUCAUCCGACUUUCUCUCGAUAUCCCCUACCCAUGUCUCAUUCAGUUCCCGCAGAUGCUGACCCUAGACUGUACUGGAAUGGGCAGUACCUCCUCGAAGAUGAUCCUGACGAGCCCGCCUACUAUUCCAAGGCUGCCCAGGAGGCACAACGAGCCGUAAGUGUCUUGCAUCUGCUAUCACGUAGACCACACUCAUCGGUGCAUGUUCAGAAAUGGGUGAAACUCAUGGAGAAUCGUGCUCCUCGCAAGAAGCUUCCUCGAGAUCUCAUCGCCAGAAACGGCUCGAAGCCCCCCCUCUACCACUACGGCAUCCCGUUCACCGACCACGACAUGCUCAAAUACGCCAAGCACCAUCACCUUACCCUGGAACUGAGCCCAGAAACGAGCAAAUUCUUCGGCGGAAAGUCCGAGUUCGACUUUGCGGACAUCUCGCGUGAGGACGAGGAGGAUCCGGAAUUCAUGAGCCAGCUGCUGAGUGCAGGGAGCUCCUUGGCUGCGCGCCACAUCGAGCUAAGGUGUGACAUUACGUUACACCUAGCCCGGCCGUUCUCCUUGGAUUGGGAUGGGAUGCUCUCAUUGUGGUCUAACUACGAUAUGAGCGAACGCUAUUCGACGUUGGUUGGAUCCCGGGAGAGAUUACAGGACAUUGUGGCGAAGCUCAAGGAGGCAAUGCACGAAGUCCGAGCCGGUGAGGAGAAUGACAUCGAGUGGUGGUAUGAAUGGGACAACCCUGUUGUAAGUUUUCUUCGUUCUGGGAGGGAGGUAGCUGCGACAUUGCUGACGGCUUGUUCUAGGGAGUAUUUACGAGCCUUGAGUAGGGAGCAAGGGGACGUCUUCUGUCGUGUUACUAUCAUGACAUAUCCCUCCUGGCACCUGGAUGGCGUGUCACACCGUCUUUUGUACUGUCUAACUUGAUAAUCAUGCAGACGAUCUAGCCUCGUCUAAGAACUCGACUGGGAACUAUUCUAGUACUUACUUUGAGUUCUCUCUGACAAUGGGUUGUGCAUACGCUGCUAGGCCAGCCUGUCGAACUAUGCAUGUAUGCAAUUCGUUGUCUGCACGCUGCAAUAGACAACCUCCGACUACAUGGCAGAGUAUUGUGGGCGUGCAAUUAGUGCGAUUAUUGGCAUAUGAUACAAUGCGUGCGCGAUGAUUCAUACAACAAAGUAAAAAGUAAGCGACGUGGCAAAACCAGCAACGGCCCUAUGCCACGCAGUGUCGAUGUGAGGGAAACGGCCACAACUACGCGAACGCCGCGUCAUCGAAUAAAGUUCCCCACCUCGUCGACCUGCUUGAUGCGGACGAGCUUGUCCGGCGAGCUGUCGAUGACGAGGAACGUCGCCUUGGUCGUGAGCACCAUCAGGUUCGCCGUCUCGAUCGCCUCCACGCGCGCUUCCUGGCCCUUGCCCUGGCUGCCCGACAGGAUGAUCACGUCCUCGCCCUUGGACUCGGGGUGCACCGGCCACAGGUAGUUCACCGG